UAAGUUUAAGAGCCGCGGUAUAUUGACCGUGCAAAGGUAGCAUAAUCAUUAGUUUCUUAAUUGGAAACUUGUAUGAAUGGUUGGACAAAAGAAAAGCUGUCUUUAUUGUAAAUAUUGAAUUUAACUUUUAAGUGAAAAGGCUUAAAUGAUUUAAAGGGACGAUAAGACCCUAUAAAACUUUAUAUGUUAUUUAAAUUUAAUUGAAUUUUAAUGAUUUAAUUUAAUAGAAUAUUUUAUUGGGGCGAUAGAGGUAUAAAUUAUAUUAACUGCUUUAAGUUGAAACAAUAAUGUUUGAAGAAGUAAUAAAUGAUCCUUUAGAUAAAGAAUAAAAGACUAAGUUACUUUAGGGAUAACAGCGUAAUUUCUUUUGAGAGCUCAUAUCGAAAAAGAAGAUUGCGACCUCGAUGUUGAAUUAAAAUGUCUGCUAUGGGGCAGCCCU
rnacentral:rRNA from 1 species